GGUUUCAUCCUUAGCAAUAUAUUGUGUAUGAUUUUUUUGGUACUGUAUUCGGAUUGGAAGUUCUAUCAAAAAAGUAGCGUUUGACUGAUGAGAGAUGAAGUGCUUUCAGAUUCAGAACUGGCCACGCACUUCUUCCCAACAGAAAACGUCCUGUGUUUGAAGCUUGUGCUUUUUCAGAUACUAUGUAUGGUACAUGCACUCAUGUAUUCAUGUGCUUUGGCAACACAUUAGUUAACAAUGACGAUUGAAGAUUUUGAUUCCUGUGCAGCUUAUAUCUGCAAAUCAUGUGUUGUUCCAUACUUUUGGUAGUAGACUACCUUUGAUUGCUCUGUACUUGUGUAUAUAUAUUGUACCACUUGUCUGCUUUAAAAAUGGUUAAAUACUUGGUUCAUAUAAGGGCUUUUUAUAGACUUAAACAAGAAAAACACAUCUUUCUCUUGUUUUGCGUUGAGUGGAGAGCUACCAGUGUUUGGGUCACCCAGAUUGCGGUGUCCAAAUUCAUUUUUUCUGACAUCUCUGAUUUGGCUGAGUCUUUUUCUCUGGGUUGUUAGCUGGCAGUAGCGUUUCAGACCCCUGGAUUAUGUGAAGUAAUCUGAAAAUAUGCGAGGCUAAGGAGCGAAGGCCUACUCCUUGUUGUAUCAGCUAAAAGUCCCCCCUUCCCCCUACUCCACUCCGUAAAGCAGGGCAAAUACUGGUACUCUUUUUAAUCUUAACCUUACGAGGGGGCCCAGUAUCAGCAAGAUUUCAUUACCAUUAAGCCGCCAUACCAACCUCUUCCUCAGCAUCAUGAAACAGUAUCAGUGGGUGCGUAAACUCUUUCGACAAGGAAGAAAACAUAGGGAGGAUUUUAAUUGACGUCCUUAACCAAGCAUCUAUCAAGUACCGUUGCGAUGCCUGUAGACUUGGUCAAUAAAAUAGCCCAAUUAUAAAUGAAAUUGUCAUCUAAUUUGAUUUAUAUUCAAGGUCCAUGGCUUUUAAAUGAAUCCAAAAAUUGGUUUGGACACCUCUUAAUAUGCCCAUGCUGUCUAGAUAGAAUGGAGAUACAAGGUAAUUAAGGUGCUGGAACAUUGCAUGUUUUGACCAGAAAUGAUAUUAAUUUAGCUGACGGGCCUGUACUAAUUAUACUGCCCUGACAUCUAAAAAUAAUCCUUGUUGUUGCAGGUGUUCUUAUGUUCUCUGUUUACAUGUGGUUUUGAUUAUGCAGUUCUUUAUUCAUAGUUUAAGGCCACGAGAAAUGGAGCUAAAAAUGUAUAUUUAAUGUUUAGAAAAACAUGUAGGCCUACCUGAUGUGAAUAAAUGUGUACACACGAACACACAUGCAUUCAGUACAGUACACACUGACACAGUAAAUACAAUUCCAGAAGAACAGGCAAGACAAAUGAAAAGCAUAUUUUAUGUUAAUUUGGUGGCUAUCAUUCACAUUGGAUAAGGAAGACAGGCACUGUCAACAGAAGAAAAAAAAUUGAAGUCCAACCCUUUGGUCUGGGCAUGUACUCCAUGAGUUCAGCAUUUAUCUGGGCAUCCCUCUCUCCUAGUGCCCUGCAUUUGUUUUGUUCUGCCACCACAUCGCCACAGAGACCCAGGCCAGCUGUCACUGAUGUUUGACUUCAUUUAUAUGUCUCCAGGGUCUGGACUGACUCCAUCUGAGAGAGCAAAGAGCCAAACGCCACAAACCACAUCCCUCUCUCGCAACCUCCCACUGCAGUAGUGGACAACCUGAAGCAAUGUCCUGAAUUAGGAAUGUUAAAUGUUCAGGUUAAAAGACUGAAAUACAUAGCAGCAUACUCCUGUUAUAGAGCAUUAAUAUAACUACACUAAAGGUUUACAGGAUGUUGCAUUUGGGAAGCAGAUCAGUUGAUAGGAUUGUUCCAAUGAGCUCCUUCCAAAGACAGAAGACCUUAACGCUUCAGUUCUAUGCAGAUUCAACCGGUCUCAAAGACACCGUCAUAGCAUCAAUAGGGUCCUUUCAUUCCCUAGCUGUUUACUUACAUUUUAAAAGAGGUUAUCAUUGAUGAUGACGACGAUUAUGAUGAAGAUUGUUUCCGUUUUUACAGCACUAAUUACAAUCAUUUUUGAGGAAGAGUUAAGGUCAAACUUAUUGUCUGGCUUUUUAACCAUCUCUUUUUAGAGGAAACCUUACUAAGUGUUCUUUGUAUGAACUUGAUAAAAAAUUAAAAUGGUCAGAG
rnacentral:lncRNA from 1 species